GGGUCGGUGCCCGAGCGGCCAAAGGGAGCAGACUGUAAAUCUGCCGGUUCACGCCUUCGGAGGUUCAAAUCCUCCCCGGCCCACAA
rnacentral:tRNA from 1 species